rnacentral:rRNA from 1 species
AGGGAAAGGUGAAAAGAACCCCGGGAGGGGAGUGAAACAGUCUCUGAAACCGUGCGCCUACAAUCCGUCGGAGCCCUUUUGUGGGGUGACGGCGUGCCUAUCGAAAAAUGAGUCUGCGAGUCAGUGGCAUGUGGCGAGCAUAACCCGUGUGGGGUAUGCGUAGCGAAGGCGAGUCUUAAAAGGCGUUUGAGUCGCGUGUCCUGGACCCGAAGCGGGAUGAUCUAGCCCUGAGCAGGUUGAAGCGCGGGUAAGACCGCGUGGAGGACCGAACCCACCUGGGUUGAAAACCGGGGGGAUGACUUGGGGCUAGGGGUGAAAGGCCAAUCAAAUUCCGUGAUAGCUGGUUCUCUCCGAAAUGCAUUUGGGUGCAGCGUCGGGUCAUUACGUCCCGGGGGUAGAGCUACUGGAUGCUUGCGGGCCCGUAUCGGGUACCAACAGCAACCAAACUCCGAAUACCGGUGACGCGUAUCCCGGCAGUGAGUCGGCGGGGGAUAAGCUUCGUCGUCGAAAGGGAAACAGCCCAGACCGUCGUCUAAGGUCCCGAAGCGUGUGCUAAGUGGGAAAGGAUGUGGAGUCGCAUAGACAGCCAGGAGGUUGGCUCAGAAGCAGCCACCCUUGAAAGAGUGCGUAACAGCUCACUGGUCUAGUGGUUCCGCGCCGACAAUGUAGCGGGGCUCAAGCACACCACCGAAGACGCGGCAGUAUUUUGUACUGGGUAGGAGAGCGUCCCAUGAGGGGCGAAGCGGCCGUGUGAACGCGCCGUGGACUUCAUGGGAGUGAGAAUGCAGACAUGAGUAGCGAGAGACGGGUGAAGAUCCCGUCCGCUGGAUGACCAAGGGUUCCAGGGCCACGUUCAUCGUCCCUGGGUGAGUCGGGUCCUAAGGCGAGGCCGACAGGCGUAGUCGAAUGGAUGAACGGGUCGAUAUUCCCGUACCGGCUUUCAGCCGCCAAAACCGAGGCUUGGAGUACUAACCUCCGGGUCCGGGCUUACUGCUCCUUCGGGGGCGGGAUGCCCUGGCCUGUUGGGACCGAUCCUUGUAGUAGGUCAGCGCAGGAGUGACGCAGAAGGGUAGCCGGCCGCGGAGGUGGUCUUCCGUGGUCAAGCACGCAGGGCGUGGGACAGGCAAAUCCGUCCCGCAUGGGUCCGAGGUGCGAUGAUGGGGGCCUUAUGGCCCGAUAUCCGGUGAUCCCGGCUGCCGAGAAAAGCUUCGGCGUCAGGCUCGAAGCCGCCCGUACCCCAAACCGACACUGGUGGUCAGGUAGAGAAUACCAAAGCGAUCGAGCGAAUCCUGGUCAAGGAACUCGGCAAAUCACUCCCGUUCCUUCGGUUUAAGGGAGACCCCCGAUGGUGAACACACUUGCUGUGGGAGCUUUUGGGGGUGGCACAGACCAGGGGGUAGCGACUGUUUACCAAAAACACAGGUGCAUGCGAAGGCGCAAGCCGCUGUAUAUGCACUGACGCCUGCCCGGUGCCGGAAGGUUAAGAGGAGAUGUCAGCGCAAGCGAAGCAUUGAAUUGAAGCCCCGGUAAACGGCGGCCGUAACUAUAACGGUCCUAAGGUAGCGAAAUUCCUUGUCGGGU